CCUACGGGUGGCAGCAGUGGGGAAUCUUGCGCAAUGGGCGAAAGCCUGACGCAGCAACGCCGCGUGCGGGAUGAAGGCCUUCGGGUUGUAAACCGCUUUCAGAAGGAACGAAACUGACGGUACUUUCAGAAGAAGGUGCGGCCAACUACGUGCCAGCAGCCGCGGUGACACGUAGGCACCAAGCGUUGUCCGGAUUUAUUGGGCGUAAAGAGCUCGUAGGCGGUUCGAUAAGUCGGGUGUGAAAACUUUGGGCUUAACCCAAAGCGUGCACUCGAUACUGUCGUGACUAGAGUUCGGUAGGGGAGUGGGGAAUUCCUAGUGUAGCGGUGAAAUGCGCAGAUAUUAGGAGGAACACCGGUGGCGAAGGCGCCACUCUGGGCCGAAACUGACGCUGAGGAGCGAAAGCGUGGGUAGCAAACAGGAUUAGAUACCCCUGUAGUC
rnacentral:rRNA from 1 species